rnacentral:rRNA from 1 species
GACGAACGCUGGCGGCGUGCUUAACACAUGCAAGUCGAACGGAAAGGCCCUGCUUUUGUGGGGUGCUCGAGUGGCGAACGGGUGAGUAACACGUGAGUAACCUGCCCUUGACUUUGGGAUAACUUCAGGAAACUGGGGCUAAUACCGGAUAGGAGCUCCUGCUGCAUGGUGGGGGUUGGAAAGUUUCGGCGGUUGGGGAUGGACUCGCGGCUUAUCAGCUUGUUGGUGGGGUAGUGGCUUACCAAGGCUUUGACGGGUAGCCGGCCUGAGAGGGGGACCGGCCACAUUGGGACUGAGAUACGGCCAAGACUCCUACGGGAGGCAGCGGUGGAGAAUAUUGCGCAAUGGGCGGAAGCCGGAUGCAGCAACGCCGCGUGGGGGAUGACGGCCUUCGGGGUGUAAACCGCUUUCGCCUGUGACGAAGCGUGAGUGACGGUAAUGGGUAAAGAAGCACCGGCUAACUACGUG